rnacentral:rRNA from 1 species
UACGUAGGGUGCGAGCGUUGUCCGGAAUUAUUGGCGUAAAGGGCUCGUAGGCGGUUUGUCGCGUCGGGAGUGAAACCUCGGGCUUAACUCGGGGCUUGCUUUCGAUACGGGCAGACUAGAGGUAUGCAGGGGAGAACGGAAUUCCUGGUGUAGCGGUGAAAUGCGCAGAUAUCAGGAGGAACACCAAUAGCGAAGGCAGCUCGCUGGGACGUUACUGACACUAAGGCGCGAAAGCGUGGGAGCAAACAGG